rnacentral:misc_RNA from 1 species
UGUCCCUAUACUCAUUCAAACUCUUCUCAAUGCUGUAGAUCGUGGUGUCUGCACUAUUUUUGAUGUCAAUCAAAGCCUUUCUUUCCUGAUCUUUCUGAGAAAAUUGCUCAGCCUCCUUGACCAUCUUCUCAAUUUCAUCCUCUGAAAGACCACCAGAUGAUCGGAUGGUGAUCUGUUGUUCUUUUCCAGUAGACUUGUCCUUGGCAGAAACAGUGACAAUACC